GUUGUGGCAAGUCAUGUGAAGAGAUCAAAAGUGAUUGUGCGUUAAUUUUCUUUGGCAUUUGAUUAUUUCGCUAAAAGCUACUGAAUUUUAAAGUUAAAACUAGAAUAUUAUAAUACUUAAGUAUAAAGAUAGGAACACUCGUGAAUAGAACCGAGAUAACUAUUUUUUGCUAAAAGCACAUGCGCUAAGGUGUAGUAUGGACUGGAAGAACGUUAAGCAUAUAUCACGCGUUAUUUACGGGAAGAAUUAUUUACGGGAAAAUACUAAACAAAAAUAAUAAUCCCCCUUAUCAGUAAAUCCUAAGUGACGGUCGUUUUAUUUGGGGAUUAUUAUUGCGGAAUUUAUCCCAACGGUUGGUAAUCUCCAACAGUUAUGAAUUCUAAACUAAAUAGAAAACUGUUCGAAUGAACAGAGAAACGCCUCUAAAACAAAAAAGAUUGCCGUUUUUUGGAAAAAUAACGUGUUCACGUGGACAUUAUUUUACCCCCUCCCGCUAUCCUGGACAAACGCGAAAUGUUCACGCACCCCUAACCCCCCACCCCCUCCCCUAAGUUGUCCACGUGGAAUGUGGCCAGCCUCUUAUGAGGUGUAGGUUCCGCCACUGUUGUGGCCAAUCACCGACGCCUAGGGAGACGACUCCACACCCAGGACCCUAACUCACGGCCCGUUAAUUAACGAACCGGCGCCAACGGCUUUACUUCCUCAUGCGAUGGAAGGCGUGAUCCCAGAGAUUUUUCGCCUCAGAAAAUCUCCCGGUGUCGACUAGGAUUGAAUCUAGACCAGUUGGGUUGGUUGUGAGUGGAUCACGCCACCUCACAACCAUCGACACCUAUGUCGGCGGUGGGAUUCGAACCCAGGCGUCGAGCGUGGUUGGCGGAGACGUUACCAACCACACUAGGCCCCCGCUGCAAAGUUUCUUUUACAACUAUAACUAACUAUUGUUUUUCAAACUCAUGUUUACAUUCCAAUAAAAUUAUAAUGAAACAAUUCAAAAUGGAACAGAUUUCUAUGGAUUAAACGUUAUUGGUUUUUAUUAUUAUUAAUUGAAGUUU